rnacentral:rRNA from 1 species
CUCCCACUUGUGCACCUUUUGUAGACUCUGGAGCUUUGUGGAUUUUCUAAAAAUUCGAGUCGGGACUGCUGUGCUUUGUUGUGAAGUCGGCUUUGCCUUGCAUUCUCCAGGUCUAUGUCAUUUUCACAACCUCUUGAAACAUGUUUAGAAUGUUGGAUAAAAUGAAAUAUACAACUUUCAGCAACGGAUCUCUUGGCUCUCGCAUCGAUGAAGAACGCAGCGAAAUGCGAUAAGUAAUGUGAAUUGCAGAAUUCAGUGAAUCAUCGAAUCUUUGAACGCAUCUUGCGCUCCUUGGUAUUCCGAGGAGCAUGCCUGUUUGAGUGUCAUUUAACUUCUCAACCACGUUGGAUAUUUUUCUUUUCAAUGUUGGCUUGGAUGUGGGGGUUGUUUGCAGGCUUUUGUAACAAAAAGGUCGGCUCCCCUGAAAUUAUUAGUGGUAUCUGAGGCUAUUGCUAUUAGGUGUGAUAAUUAUCUAUGCCUUUUGGGUAUGCCGCAUGAACAGAUUACACUGCUUCUAACGAAAACUAUUUUGAUGAAUUUGACCUCAAAUCACGUAGGACUACCCGCUGAACU